CUUACUCGGAGGCGAAACCUCCCGAAGAACGAUAUCGAUCGCGAUCAUCACAAGCCGCGAAUCGAACAAAUAAAUCAUAGUGCCGAGUGCUCGAACGAGAUCACACUGUCGCAAGGUUAUGCGCGGCACGCUCCAACGUGAACAUAGCAACUAGUGACGCGGCGUCGAUAAUCAGUGCGGUCGCGGGGGCACCUUGCGUCACGUCAACAACUACGCCUUACUACGCAAACUUCUCGUAACUAGUAGGCAGGCAUCGAACGCCAGUGUCGAUCGACGCGUCGUGGCCGUGAAGGACGUGAAGGAUCCUUCUCGACGCUGGAUGUAUCCACACAGAUCUGUUGCAGCAAACUCAUACGUUCCACGAUGCAUCUUCAAUCGACACUCGUGUAUUCACUUUAGUCUCAAUACUAGACAGCGAUCGCCAAUAACGCUAAACUGUGAGCAUACGUUAUUUGCUACAUAAAGUGCGGAAGAUGCAGUGCGCGAAGGUGCAGUCAGUGCAACAGGUGCAGCAUCGUGUAGGUAGCAUCGUUGUCGCGGUGGCGGGUAGUGCGUGAAGUUGCCGCGUGAUGAUUCUCAAAUUUCCUCUCGGAUUCAUCGGUACAAGUAACUUGCGAAGCGCCGCCGCAAUGUUGUGCGGAUCGCGGUCUCGUCGCGAUAUAAUCAAGUGCGCCAGUGCUCGGCACGAAUUGUAUAUUUCGGCCGAUUUUCAGCCAUCGUCGGAUGUGCUGCGAAAACUGCCGCGAUCGUCGUAUUAAUAAUAUCUCUAUUAGUGCGCGCGCAUGACUUAAUUAACCUUGUUUCGCGAGUGAGUAGUGUUGUGUGGGUGUGCCAUGGAGCAACGACGUCUUCUACAAAGGGAGAGAGAGGAGGAGGAGGCCAGGGAGGUAUCUGGCAACGGCGGAGCAACGGUGGGAUUAAUAUUUGUGCUACAACUCCGCUGCUGCGCAUCGUAUCGGUGAGUGUUAAAUAUUUUUUUAUUGUAAUUUGAGGUAAUGGAGCUUCCUGUUUUUCUUUCUCUUUCCAUAAACAUUAUAGAUAAAUAUGUGUUAUAUUUUAUAUAGAUCCAUUGCCUUAAAUUGCCGUUAUACAUUAAUUACCAUUGUAUUAAUAUCAUUAAUGAAGAGAAAUAUGACAAAAAUAAUCGGAAUAAUUUUGUACAAAAUUUAGUGAAAAAUACUCUUUUGAAAUAAGGUUUUAAUAGCGGUUUUAAAUACGGAUUACGGAAUUUGCGAAAAAAUAAUUGGAAUGAUGUUAAAUGUAAAUUGUCAUAUCGCGCACAAUGACAACUUUUACGUAUAAAAAGUGAUAAUGUGAUUGCGAAUACCGGAAAAGCAUAAAUGAGGUAAAUAACGCAUUAAUUUAAUCUUUAAUAUGUAAAUCUUAACCCUUGACCUUUGACUAUACUAGCGAGGUACAAACGUACCCCAUCGCAUACAAUUACGCAAAUAUUUUCUCGUGUGGCAUAUUUAUUUAUUUAUUAUUUGAUUAUUUAGAAAAAAAAUAUAUUAAAAUUAACAUUGUCGAAAAUUAGAAGGAAAUCUUUGUUUGUUUACUUAGAGAGCCUUUUACAAAUUUUAUUUUUUGUUUUAUUUGUAAUAAAUAAUCAUUCAGUUUCAGAAUGUUUAAUUAAUUCACCAGAUUAAAAUAACGUCAGCUUUUUAAAUUUCAUUUCAGUUGAAACCUUUAUCAAAGUUUGGGGGUGUAGUUGUAUAACCCAGAUUUGACUGUAGUUGUAGGUUAAAUGUCGACGUUGCGACACAGAAAUACUCAUCAAAAUCUUUUCAAGUGAAAGAGGGACGCAGUGGAAAAUUAAGUAACUUACAAUAGAGAAGUUUUAAUAUUUUUUUGAAGGUACAAAAAUAAAUAAUUCUCGACAACUGGAGUUCAGUGUGCUUUAAAAACGAUAUUUAUAAGUCCGAGAAUUGAAAUUGUGGUUCGGAUACCAAAAUACGUUCUUUUUGAAGUACACAUGGAGUUUCGAACGGAACAAUGCUCAAACAGAAACUUUGAUCCUGCGUCAUUUCCAGUGCUGUAUUGUUACAUAUAUUUCAUCGGCUAUCUCGGUUUCCUGUUAUUACGGACUUGCGUCACGUUCGAAAUCACGGGAUUUACACAGUCGUAUUUAUCGCAACGCUUGUGUUUAUUGCAUAGUUCCUCCAAAAUAGUUUGGCGCGGCCGUAGAUUUUAUCAGAGGCCCCGAUAGACUACUCUGUCCCAGGCCCCGCACUUGUAUCCUUGGGGUCAGUUCUGUCCAUGAAAAUGAGAUUAAUCAGGACUCGGGGGAUACAUUGGUUAUAACGGCGCGCGGUAGGUUACGUCGGACGUAUGGGUCAUUAAUAAAAGUGUUUAAUUACGCGGGGCUUCACCUGUAGUCGACGAUUAGAGGGAUAAAUUAGGUAUUCUCGGUGGACAACCUAAAACACUCACGUAUGAGUGAGAGCGCGUUGUUCUUCAUUAAGCCCGCUCAUCAUCUCGCCCUUCUUCCCGUCGUGUAUCUCGCGUUACUUAAUGUGCGAGGCCGCGCGCGUGUAUGUAUAGAUGUACAUCGCCGCGAACUUUUUGCUGGACGACGAAAUUUAUCGCGGGAGAGUAUAUUAAAUGGCGAAACUCCAACUCCUGAGCGCCGCUGUACGAGAACUCGCCGGGCACGCCGGCGGCGCGACUUGCAGUUUAUGUAAAGCCGGAUCUAGGCCAGGCAAAUGAGCGCGAGCAAGCACAAACGAAUAACUUAUUUUAAAGAGUACGAACGACGUUCUAUUGGAAUACAAUUUGCUCGUUCGUGUUUGUUCGCAUUCAUUCGCAUGGUCUAGAUCCGGCUUAAGAAACGUUGACGUCGUCGUAGCCGUCCCCGUUCCGAAAAAGGGUAAAUUUUAUUCCCGAUAUCGAGGAAAGGAAAUAGAAGAAAAAUAAGAUCGAAAAUAACAGAUUUCAAAUCUCCUGAAAUAAUCUGAUGAUUGACUUAUGGCAUUACUACACUAUGUCUUCGGCAAACCAAUAUGUUCAUCCAGAUAAUCCAUUGAUUGCUCAUAAUUUGUCUCAUUUAUACCAUAUUUGUCAUGAUUAGCUGGGGCGAAUAAUUUAGUGGUAAAUGAUGAAGCUUAGAACUGAAAGGCGAGGUUACACGGGGGUUCAAGUAAUAAAGGCAACUCAAGGGUCGACGUGCGUAUAUAUUUUUUAAUUAAAAUUGUAUAAAGCUAGGAGCGGGAAGGACAAAGCCAAAAGAGGGACUUAAAAGAAACUUAUCAUGUUGGGGAGCACAAAAGGAAGAGUAAAGAAUUUUAAUAAGAAUUAUCUCAUAUCGAUGAAGUUGGGGAUACUAAACCCGGGAUUCUAGACUUGUACGGGGAAAGAUUUUUCUUUGAAAAACUAAAAUGUUUAGUUCGAUUGAGUUAGCUUAGUUAAUUCUUGAUUAAAAAAUGUUAAUUGUUGACAUGAAUGUUAUAGAAGAAAGUUGCUGAACCUUUCUGUGUAACUAAAUAAUACUUGAAUCAAUGUUUAGUGCUGAAAGUAGUGGAUUAAAUAUUUUAAUUUGUCAAUAAUUUUUUUUAUUGAAAAAGUAUGCUUAUACUGCGUUACAUUGCAUUAAAAUUAAAAAUCACGUUCCUCAAGUCAUGGCUUAUGAAAUGAAUCAGUCGUUAUUAGAAAAAGCCGAGAGCUAAUGAUCAAUGAGCGUCAAUUGGAGCAGAUAUUUCUGAAAGUAGCGCAGGAGUGAAGCACUUCUCGAGGAAAUCCCAUAUACGUUCUAUAAAGUCAUUCGAUUCUAAGGUUCAGGAAUGUCUAAGCUUCGCACGUACGUGCGCGAUCGCGCACGUGUGUAUGUCGACGAGUUCAAAUGAGGUACUCGGGAACACGUGUGGAGCCAGCCCGGCCAGUUACGCCGACACUUUUACGUUCGUGCAUUCUCGGCAGUAAUGUGCGACGAAAUGGCGGUCACCAGAACCGAUCGUCGCCCUUUCGAUUUUUCAUCGUUCGCAAAAUGCGUUCCUCGCCGUUCUGAUUAUCGCCAUAUUUUCCAAUUCUGGAUGCGUACGGGCGCGUGAACGCUUUAAACGCCACUCUGGCCAGCUGUUGUCGCUCGCCUACAUCCCCUUUUUCCCUGUCACUUUUUCCUAUCGAAAUUGAGCUAAUAAUUGUCGUGAAUUAUAUCAGGAUUCAUCGAAGGGAAAUGAUCGUGAAUGUGAAAUUUUGCGAAUAGAUGCUACGCUGAAUGUUAAAAGUAUUACAAAAAAUAUAAUAUAAAUUAACUUCAUUUUAUUUUAUACACGCGUGGCGUUGUUUCUUUUUUAUUUUAUUUUAUUCAGAUUUUCAAUUCCCAAAUUUGAUUACAUUACGUUGUCGCACGCGUCUCGACUGCUAACGAGAGAUUGUUGUUGCGUAUCCAUCUGAAAUUCUAAACUCUUCAUUUAAUCAUCUCUUGUCAUACAACUUUAUAAACUACUUGGUUAGAGCGGGAAUGCUGUUAAGCUAAUGUAAAUAUGUUUGGAAUUACGACAUGCGCUUAUGUACACUGGAGGCAAAUCCUCGCGAAAUCGCCAUUUCCCGCGCAACAUGAUUCCACUUGCAAUUUUCCUCCGACUUGGCGAACGCUUUUUUCCCCUCUUUCGUUGGUUAUACCGCCGUAGCGCGCGAUGAAAAGUUAAAAAAUAUUUGAAAGAGUUCCAAAGCCGAAGAAAUAUUCCGGUCGUAGAUAGUUACAAAAUCCUCCACAAUAAUUUGAGACUUAAGAAAGUUAAACAGGAUCUACAUUGGCUCGAAAGCAUUCUGUAGGUGGGUACCUAGAGCGAGAGACGUGCAGGAACUUGCGAGAAGCGAGAUCUAAGUACUCUUAAGAGCCGGCGCUGGUGUUUACUUUGCCGCAAGGAGCACCUGCAAAAAUAUCGGGAAUAUCGCAGGCGCUUAUUGUUCGCCCUGAUCCUACUACGAUAGAUGUAUAUCGGUAUUUCAUCGGGAUUCACAAGUGGUCCGAUUUACUAAUUCCAUAUCCUGUCGGCGGGAUGCGCGACCCAUGUCACGGCGUAUCCAUGACAUAUUUUUUACAUUGUACUUUAUAUAGAUGCAUUCACAUUGCUAUUUCCUCGUAGUCACGUACGAUGCCAAAAAAUCUGAUAUCUGUAAAAUACGUCAAGAAAUAUUAAAUUAAUACAUAAAUCUAUAUAAUAUCGAUAAAGUACGUAAAAGCAGAUAGAACAAUACGCGGAAAGAACAAUUUUAUUGAAGUGCAGAUCUAAAAAUAACUGUGUCGAACCAUUAAAAAAUCUAUAUUGGACGUUUAAGCUGGUUGCUAGAAUGUCAAAACUUUUUGCAGCAGUGUCAUCAUGCUCGAACGUCGUACAUAAUUAUUUUGAAAGUCUAACAUAAAAUUAUUUUUUUAUCUAAAUUUUUAGAUACUAUAGAGUAAAAUUGUUCUUUCCGUGUACGUUCUGUAAUUAUUUGUGCUAAAAAUAUACAUUCGUAUCAAUGAAAAUGCAACAUUUGUAAUUAUAUUUAUUUUCUUCCAUUUAUAUAUUUCUAUGUUUUUAAUAAGACAUGUUAAUAUCUAGCAAGAAAUUCUUUAGUUUCAAUUAAUUUUGCAGAAAAACAUUAUAUUUUAUUGCAAUGUAUACGUAUGUUAAUUUUUCUUGUAUAAUAUAACCAUAAAUAAUAUAACUUUACUAAAAAUGAAAAAAAGGAUACACGUGAUAAUAAAGUUGCACCAAAGUUUAUCAUGGCAAAUGCACACGAUUCUUUUAUGACGCUACAUGCAUUUAUUUCGAUCUCUUUGUGUGAAAUUGCCUCUACAGAUAUACGUAAAUAAAAUAUGAUAGCUUACAAUGCGCUAUAAAAUGUGCCUAUCCCAGAUAGAAGAGAAAUAACUGAAAACAAAUUAGAUAACGAGUGGAGAAAAUGGAAAUCUGAUAAAGAAGAAAAGAUAUCUGUUAGUUUAUAAACUUUGCAGCUUGCAUAUAUGCAACAAUUUAUUCUCCGCUUUCCCUCUCGCGUAAUCUGAUACUGUAAAUAUCAGUAGAAGCGCGGUAAUUAUCUGCUGCUCGCAAAUUAAGCCAAAACUUGCGAAUAACACGAUUUAGAAUAGUACGGUCUUCUGGACUACAUCCUAUUCGCGCAAAUUAUCUAGUAAAUACCGAGGUAGCCUUAAACGCCGACUCUCCGGAAAUCAGCCUGACUGUUAUUAAAUUUUCGUAUGCACGCUAUCGCAAUAUCUACGAUAUCUACACUAGAGAGGUACAUUGGAUAUCUACAUUGGAUAUCUACACUAGCGAGGUAGAUGGCGAGGAAGAGAGCGAAGAGAGAGGAAGAGAGAAAGAGAGGGGUGGAAAUGGGGUUAAAACGGCCAGGUGGGUAAUAUUGCCGACUUGUUCGUACAGUUACCAACACAUGGCGCUGUUAAUCACAUCGAAUUACAACACAUGCAAGCAAUGCAUUUUGAGAUAUGCGAAUCUAGUUAGUCCACUGCUGGUGUUAAUGCACAGUGCGAAAGUAGGGAAAUUGGGAUACAUCGUUUGGGCGCGAAUUGAAUGUUGUGUACUCUAUCGUUUAUGACCGAAGAUAUUGCAUUUUGCUCACGUGCCGCAAUACUGCAAAAAAUAACGAACGAAUGACCGCGGUCGUUGGUUUUUGGGACAUUUUGGAUAGCGGUAUGAGUUAUUUUCGUCGAAAUUUGCCUAAAAGAUAAAUAUCUGCGGUUGAAAUUAAUUUUUUACAUAUAUCUCUACGAUCCGAAUUACGUUAAUUGCAAUUAUACAUAUAUUUUAAUGCUAUCAAAGAGAUAACAUUUUUUAUUAAUAUUAUAUACUUAUUGUUAGUCUUUUAAAUUUUAAAAACAAUAUACAAUAUAAGAGCAUACAGUUCUAGCCAGACGUUAUUGCUAAUAUAUUUAUUUGUUUACGUAUCUAGUAUCACAACAUAUUAUUAUUUAAUUGUCGCUAAUAUAUUUCAUUGAAAUUAUUCUUAUUUCAAAAACGGAAACAGACGUUUCGACCUCAUUUUUAGGUCAUCUUCAGUAUUCCUAUUUUUCGUUACAAAUUAAAAAUAUAAUCUUUUUGUAUUUAUGCAUUAUUUUACUUGAUACAAUUAUAUAAUUUUUAAUUUGCAAUUUAAUUAUUAUAGUAACCGAGAAAUGUAUUAAGCGAAAUAUUUUCUCAGUAUAAUUUUACCAUAAUAAUUUAUAUUAUUUUAUAAGCCGAUCUAAUUAUUAAAUCACUUAUACAUAUACGCAUAGAGCUUUUUCAUAUUAUAUAUUGCACUUACGCACGCGUACUCAUUAACAGAAAUACGCAUAUAUAUAUUCUCUCUCUCUCUCUCUCUCUCUCUCUCUCUCUCUCAUGGACAUCAUAUCGUGUCAUAUGUAUAUUAACCUUUUCAGUAUCACAGAAUCGGAAUGCAAAGUGGUUGCAGCUGGUUACAAUCCGCUAGCGCGUCAAUAACACCUGAUGAAAUUUAGGAGAUGACAAAUUUCACUCUAUCACAUGAAUAAUAUAUUACAAACCGAAAUUCUAAAUUAAGUCAAUUAUUUUAUUUAACUUUACUUAAAAUGUUUCAUAAUGUAAUAUUAUAAUUUCGAAUAUUAUCUAUAAAAAAAACAUGAGUAUCAAAUCUUUCAUACUUUCAUUUUUUUUUCUUCUUUCAUACUUUCUGUAUAUCACAAACGAAGAAAGAUAUUGUCGGGGGCACUAAGUCUGAAAUGAUUAAUAUAUUAUGUUAACAUAACAAUCCAUCAUAUAGAUCCUUCAUUAUAUAUAGAGAUUCUGACAGGUUUAUCUCUCUAGAAUUAUGGAAUUAUGGAUCAUCUCUUUUUUUCGAGGAAAGUCCCUCCAAGAAAAGGCUUACAGUAGGGUUAAAAGACCCCUGGUGAACAUCUUGUUACUCCGCGCGUACAAUCGUCUAAAUGAUUAAAGGUACAAUUCUAGGCAUCGCAUCAGUGCAUUCUCUGCUGUUGUUCACUGCUCCCAAACAAUAAACACUCGCUACCUGACUAGUUGUUAUCUCCAUCGACUCGGCGCGCGGACGAAUGCGACAAAAUUCACGGAAACGAACGCGUGUACAUCCCUUAAGCCCUCAAUGGACUCCCAGGUCUAAUCAGAUGAGAUCUAAUCGUUGAUCCGCUCGGGCGAUAUUUGUGCUCUGUAAGGAGAAUGUCGCCGACAGGAUUGAAAAGGCCGGUUAAUAGACGACGAGACGGAGGGGCAUGGCGAGGCAAAAAAACGAGGAGAGAAAGAUAGAGUAGGAAGGGUAGGAUUAGGGCUUAACUCGCAAACGUUGUCGCGUCGUACGGGCAGCGCGGUACGCGGGGACCGAGGGUACGUCUCAAGAUUUCCUUCGCUUGUUUAAAAGGUCGCAGAACGACACUGAAUCGCUAUUGUGCGCGAUGCGCGCGCGUAUGUACAUACGUGAAUGCAUGCACGAACACAAACACACGUACGUAUACGCGUGUGCAUAUACGAUCCCGGAGAAAACACAAAAACCGCGCUGCCAUGUAGGUAGAUCUCGUCGCAGACCCCUUUGGCAGAAGAAUGCCAGAGAUAAAAUCGCGCAACCCCUGCACCGGCGCGGCGCAACCCUUCGCUAAGGGUGGCACAGAUCCUUUAUUGUACGCUCCCAAAGCUGUGUCAGUGUACGCGCGUGUUCUCUGCCGCUAUAAACGACCGAAAGCCAAGGCGAAACCAACACUAAGGCGCCAGCCACCAAUAAAUAUAUAUAUGCUCAUCUAACGCUCACACGACGAGUCCCUUGGUAUCCGAGACCGUCUUCGGAUCUUUUCCCCUACCUCUUCGUUGUCGUUCCCAUUUCCUACCCUUUCUCUUCGUCCCGCGACCCCCACACUCCUUCUCUCGACUCUCAUCUCUUCUCCCCGGUUUUCUCCCAUUUUGCCCGUGCAGGGUUAGUUCUCCUUGCUAUUUUUGAAGCUUAUCCCAUACGGAAAGUAUGUGACAGUUUAGUUGGAACGAGCGGCGUGGAGAUGGUGAGGGAGACCCUGAUUCUUCGCGGCCUGCUGACACAGCCGACGCGUUCCUUCGCGCCAUUGUGCGCGACACCGGCGUAGAGUUUUGAAAGUUUAAUAGAGUUGUACUCUCGGCGACGGGAAUGGUGUCGAUGGAUAUGACGAUCACGACCGCGUCCCACUGCAGAAUCUGCAGAAGAGAAAUGGAGCUUAGUUCCAAACAGUUGAUAGUUCUUUAUCGAGCAGGUCGCGAUUUUCUUACUUUUUGAUUUAUUACGAAUGGUUAUAAAGAACUUUUGCAUUUUGCUUAAAGUUAAUCAUUAAUUUGAAAUGUUUUAAAGUAAGAAUUUUGUAGUGUUUUGAAAUAAAAAAAAAUUGGUGGAAAGCAAUUUUUUUAUUGUAUUAAUAGUUCACGAGAUGUGAACCACCAUCGUGAUUUACGCUUUCAUACUCUCUCGAACGGUUUCAUUUCUUCUGAAAAGUAAGAAAUAAUUAUCUAAUUAACUUGUUUUUCCUAUAAUUUUUUUUUUAUUUUCGUAGAUAUUGAUGUGGUAAAAUUACAUUUCAACUGAUUUACUGAUCAAGUACCUUGUGAACAGUUCAUAUUUUCCAAUAAGAAACUGAAUUUAAACGAAUAUAAGAGCGUAAAUUACUUGUGUAAAAAUCUGACAUAAUUCAAUGAUAACCUAAAAUUUUUUCUCUUUAAAUCGCAAAGAGACUUUUUGUCCUUGCAAAACUACCAGAAAUAAAAAUGCAAAUCCAACGUAUCAUGAAUAUUUCUACGGUAACACGCGGGCUGUUUGUAUAAAAUUUCAAGACUCAAAGCAUUAUUGAUCAGUGUAAAAAACUUCUUACAUUUUUAUUAUUUCCUCAAAGAAAGGGAGAUGAAACAAAAUAAAAUUUCAAGCGAAAUGUGUAACCUUGUCACGUAUCACAUAUAAAGUUAGGUCAUAAAGAUACGAUAUAAUUUUACGAAUCAAAUCUUAAACUUAAAUGACUUUGUUUUUUACACGAUAUUAUUGUAGCUUUAACGCUUGCAGAAAUAUUUUUUAUUUUAUUUGAACAGAUGAGCACAAGCAAGUAAUUUAUUUUUAAAGUUUAAUAUUAAAAUGUAGAUGUUAAUAUGAGAGUUGAACAAUCUCACAAGGAAUUUGAUUUUUUAUUUACACAUUUAAAAUUAAUAGGUAGAGUUAUCAUGCGGGCUACGAAUCAAGCACUGCAAAUAAUUCGUUAUAUCGAAACUCCGUUUUAUCGCAUUUUCAUUUGAAAUUGUAGAUAACAUUUAAAUAUUAAAAUUUCACCUACACAUGCCACGAUUAUUGCAAUAUCUACUAUUCGGAGCGCUGAUAAUUAAAAAUGAAGAAAAUUAAAAUAAGCAGUAAAACGCAAAAAAUUAAUUGACAUGAAGUACGUUUUGAUUUCCUUUCCUGAGUAAUUACUUUCUUGCAUCUACACAGUUUAUCAUAGUUUUUCCAAUUGUCUCGUGAACGUUUUGCAAAUUACAUUGCGCGUUAAUUUAUAUUUUUCCUUUUUACGCUCUCUCAUUUAAAUCGUGAUUUGAAAUUGCACGUACGCAAGUGUCCAUUACUUUGCGCUACGUUCUAUAAUACAUUUUGCAAGAAACGUCGAUGCUGUUGAAAUUUUUCUAUCUGGAAGCGUAUGUUAUCGUAGGCUAACGACUGAGUGAUCAAAUUCGAUGCCAAAUGCAGACUUAUCAAUACAGUUUUUACAGAGACGUAAAGCUAUGCACAUAUCGCGAAACACACGCAAUGACGGUUGCAUUGACUGGUACGUUCUGCAGUAUUUUUUUCCACAUUGCACGUUAUCUUUAACAAUUCCAGAUUUACACAAUGCCUCCAAAAAAAUUUGUUGCAGCUCUGUGCAAACCUUUACCCGAAAAGCGCAUAGCGUCACAUAAAAAAAUACCGUAUCCCAGAAAUAUUCGUAUUUUUCAUGAAAAAUAUGUUUAUAAAAAAACAACAAGAAAAAAAAUAUUCUCGUUUCGAAGGCGCAUCAUGCGUCCGUUCGUACUCGUUUCUGUCCGAUUCGCCUCGUACCAUACCACCACGCGAGAUCCUUAACAAUCGAGGCGAACUUUUCCGUACGAUAGUCCUAAUGUGCGAGCGAGUAAAGUUCGUCUCUUUAAGGAGAGAAGCGAUCGAGUAAAAGUGAUGCUCUGUCCAUAGACUCUGUCUAUCUCUGUUUCUCCCUGGACGGGGCGGACGUAUAUUGCGAUGCCGGCUGUAAACUUUCGACCGGCUCGACGAAAACUUUUUUAUCCACUCCGAGAGUCGCCAGACUCGAAUUUUUUUAUGAGCACGAUCGUCGGGCUAUCGUAAAAGUUGCCGGGCCGUCGAACUUUCGUUGCGGCGACGGCGGCGAAGGAGCCACUUCGGACAUCGGUCUACUGCGGACCGUAGCGUAAAUAAUUUCUGGCUUUCUGAACGAAACGCGGGGGACAAAUCAGUGAAAUCCAACCGCGCGCUUUCAUGGACCUCGCCCACCCUUUCCCUGGCCGUAUUAUCUACGGAUACGAGAUGGUGGUGGUGGCGGUGGUGGCAGCGGUGGCUGGCUGGCUGGCUGGUAAGAGGAUCUGAAUAAUGCAUGAAGUACGUUUCAUUUUUCUAUACCACCCGGCCGCGCGAUACAAAGUUCUCGUCCCCAAGGACCCAAAACAAGCUGCAAUCUCCGGCAGUCGAUGCUUUGUAAUCCGUGUGAUUUAUGGUGUGAGAUUUCGACUGAAAAGGAGAAUCGUCGCGCGCGGCCGGGUGGUGGACGAACUUGUGGGGCAAGGAGCUCAACGAUAUCGCGGGUGAUAAGAAUCGAAUCCGACGACGCAGGGAGCGUCCCGUUGUCACCAUAAUCGCUCCCGUGUAUCUCGCAGGGAGCGUCGCCGUCUGGACGACGACGUCGCGAUUAGUAUCGAAAGUUUCGAUGCCGAAUGGCGCUCCAUGGUGCGCUUGCAGCUGGAGGACGGACCCCGAAAGUCCCCGACUUCCCGGGUGGACGCGCGACUCCGCUCCGACGUUUCCAGUUCGGGACGAGUAAAUCCUCUUUGGAGAAACAGCGAAACGAAUUACGGUGCCGGCCGUAAUAAUACGGUUACAGAUAAACGCUUUCAAGUUAAGCGCAUUUAGAAUUACGUGACUGCUCGGUCCGGGUAGGAGUGUAUAUGUGCACCGCCGGAGCAUAUACCAUGUAUGCGCUUAGACCGUGUUGUGAAAUAUUGCGUGCGGGGAUGCGAGCAUAAUUUCGCGCCGUGUUAACAGGCACCCUCGUGUUUUCCUAGGGCUGUUCCGGUUUAAUGUUUCGUCAGUCGAAGGGCACCGCGUACGACGCGAAUAUGCAUCGGGACUCCGCGGCGAGGGCUAUUAAUUCAUAAUUAACGAUGUAAACAAAAGAAAAGAGAGAGAGAGAGACUCAUUAGUUACAAUUACAGUAGCGCCACGACUGUGAUGAUAAGAACCUCUCAGAUAAGAACGUUCGACAAUUCAUUUCGGAGCGCGUAAUAAAGUUUAAAAGGAUGCGAAAAUAAAAAAUGUGGCGAUUGGCGAAUGAAAUAUAACGAUUAGCGCUGUAUGCAACUUUUAUGGAAAUUUCAGGCAGUUACAGUUUACUGUCGACAAUAAAGGGACAGUGAAAAAUAAAUCCGAAUAUAUAUUGACUAUAGUAAAUAUUCAGUUUUAUGCGUGUGACGAACGUGCACGACAUUUUGAGGGAUCACAACAGUGGCAAUGAACGCCGCGACGAAAGGGAAGGCAGCCGGUCAUCGACUAAUUGUAAGUCGUAAUAAUUCCAAAUUGCAAUAACGCGCGCGCUUCCAAUUACACGGUUCUCCCAUCUGGCGCGCCGCACGCGAGUGCAGCGAAUUGAAAUUACGGCGAUGACGUUAAUUCGGCGUUUAAUAAAAGGAAAGUUUCGCUUUAAUCCAUCCGCGAUGAAGGCCACUUUGUACAGAGUAAAGUAAAGCCGACGGUAAUAAACGGAUUAGAGAGUAUUCGUAUAAUAGCGGUGGAUAAACGGCAGCAAUUAAGUGCAUGCCGGUGGAAGCCAUUAAAAACGUAUUAUUAGAAAAGUGAUAUAAAUGUGUGACGUCGCGUCGCCGCCAAACCGACCCGAAGAAAACAUUUAUGUUUUACGCUUUAUUUAUGCCGUUGUAUCAAUCGUCACAACUAAAUGAGAAAUAAUGGAUUGUUGGCUGCAUUUUUAUAAUAAAAACACGAUUAUUCUGUGAUUACGCGACAAAACGUACGUAUAUGAUAAUGAUUGCAUAGAUGUGAUAACAAAUAAUUUCAUUGUGUUGAAAAAAAUUCGUGUAAAAUCAGAGUUUCAAACUAACAUUGCAAAAUUAUUAUUUUUAGCAAACCAUAAAUAUAACUGCCAUAUGACGUACAUGAAAAAUUAUUACAUUUACGUAAACAAUUAUAUCUGUGUUUGUUGUGUUGCUUAUUAAAUCUUUUAUGUCAAUUGAUAUGAAAUAUUUGAAGGGUUACACAUCUUUUCAACAUUCAGAAAAGUCAAACUUUUUUUUAACAUUAAAUUGUUCUUUAUAGUGUCUAAAAUAUGAGCAAAAACGGAAAAUUGCUCGAAAACCUAAUUAUUCACGUACAUUUUCUUUGUCAAACUUUAAACGCGUUUUGCGAACCAUGCUUUUCAAGUCUUAACGUGAUAAUUUUAACAAUUUUCAAUCUUUUUGAUAAAACAAGUUUUCACUCGUGUCAAAUGCAAUU